rnacentral:ncRNA from 1 species
GUGUUCAUUGAAAGGAGAGACAGUUGGCAUCUCCCCUCAUAGGGAUGGGAAUACCUGUUAGCACCCAUUGGUUAAGGCUACCUACUUCGGUGGAUUUUACCUAAAAAAUUG